GACGAACGCUGGCGGCGUGCUUAACACAUGCAAGUCUAACGGAAAGGCCCUGCUUUUGUUGGGUGCUCGAGUGGCGAACGGGUGAGUAACACGUGAGUAACCUGCCCUUUACUUUGGGAUAACUUCAGGAAACUGGGGCUAAUACCGGAUAGGAGCUCCUGCUGCAUGGUGGGGGUUGGAAAGUUUCGGCGGUUGGGGAUGGACUCGCGGCUUAUCAGCUUGUUGGUGGGGUAGUGGAUUACCAAGGCUUUGACGGGUAGCCGGCCUGAGAGGGUGACCGGCCAAAUUGGGACUGAGAUACGGCAAAGACUCCUACGGGAGGAAGCAGUGGGGAAUAUUGCACAAUGGGCGGAAGCAUGAGGCAGCAACGCCGCGUGCGGGAUGACGGCCUUCGGGUGGUAAACCGAUGUCGCCUGUGACGAAGAGUGAGUGACGGUAAUGGGUAAAGAAGCACCGGCUAACUACGUG
rnacentral:rRNA from 1 species